UACGGAGGGGGCUAGCGUUGUUCGGAAUUACUGGGCGUAAAGCGCACGUAGGCGGCUUUGUAAGUUAGAGGUGAAAACCCAGGGCUUAACCCUGGAAUUGCCUUUAAGACUGCAUCGCUAGAAUUGUGGAGAGGUAAGUGGAAUUCCGAGUGUAGAGGUGAAAUUCGUAGAUAUUCGGAAGAACACCAGUGGCGAAGGCGACUUACUGGACACAUAUUGACGCUGAGGUGCGAAAGCGUGGGGAGCAAACAGG
rnacentral:rRNA from 1 species